rnacentral:rRNA from 1 species
UUAGGUUCAGGACAGCCUUGGGAAACUAAGGGUAAACCUGAAUAGGAGAAACAUACUGGAAUGUAGUUUCUUUUAAAAGCAAUGCCUAAGGAUGAGUUGGCGGCGGAUUAGGUUGUUGGUGGGGUAAAGGCCCACCAAGCCUAUGAUCCGUAGGGGCCGUGAGAACGGGAGCCCCGAGAAGGACACUGAGAUACUGGUCCUAGCCCUACGGGGUGCAGCAGGCGCGAAACCUUUACAAUGCACGAAAGUGUGAUAAGGGAAUCCCCAGUGCUCAUGCUCUGCAUGGGCUUUUUGCCAAGAGUAAAUAUCUUGGCGAAUAAGUGGUGGGUAAGACUGGUGCCAUCCGCCGCGGUAAUACCAGCGCCACGAGUGGCAACUAGUUUAUUGGGCCUAAAGCGUUCGUAGCUGGUUUAGUAAAUUUUUUGUGAAAUUGUUAUGCUCAACGUAACAGCGUGCAAGAAACACUGCUAGACUUGGGACCGGGAGAAGUUAGGGGUAUAUCUUGGGGAGCGGUAAAAUGCUAUAAUCCUUGGUAGACCACCUGUCGCGAAGGCGCCUAACCAGAACGGAUCCGACAGUGAGGGACGAAAGUCAGGGGAGCGAACCGGAUUAGAUACCCGAGUAGUCCUGACCGUAAACGUUGCGAGCUAGGUGUUGCGUAUUCCCCGUGAAUAUGCAGCGUCGUAGCGAAGGCGUUAAGCUCGCCGCCUGGGAAGUACGGCCGCAAGACAGAAACUUAAAGGAAUUGGCGGGGGAGCACCACAAGGGGUGCGGCGUGCGGUUUAAUCUAAUUCAACGCAGAGAAUCUCACCAGAUGCGACGGCAAGAUGAAAGUCAGGCUAAAGGUCUUACUUGAUGAGCCGAGAGGUAGUGCAUGGCCGUCGUCAGCUCGUGCCGUAAGGUGUCCUGUUAAGUCAGGUAACGAGCGAGACCUACAUCCACAAUUGCUAGCGGCCUUUGGGACCGAGCACUUUGUGGGGACUGCCUUGGAAACAAGGAGGAAGGUGUAGGCUACGAUAGGUCUGUAUGCUCCGAAUCUUCUGGGCUACACGCGCGCAACAAUGGUAAGGACAAUAGGCUGCAACUCCGAAAGGAGAAGCUAAUCCUUUAAACCUUAUCUAAGUUCGGAUUGAGGGUUGUAACUCACCCUCAUGACGCUGGAAUCCCUAGUAAUCGAAUAUCAUCAUUGUUCGGUGAAUAUGUCCCUGCUCCUUGCACACGCCGCCCGUCAAACCACCCGAGCA